rnacentral:rRNA from 1 species
UACGUAGGGGGCGAGCGUUAAUCGGAAUUACUGGGCGUAAAGUGUGCGCAGGCGGCCAUGCAAGUCGAGUGUGAAAGCCCCGGGCUUAACUUGGGAAUUGCGCUCGAAACUACGUGGCUGGAGUGUGGCAGAGGAAGGUGGAAUUCCACGUGUAGCGGUGAAAUGCGUAGAGAUGUGGAGGAACACCAAUGGCGAAGGCAGCCUUCUGGGCCAACACUGACGCUCAUGCACGAAAGCGUGGGGAGCAAACAGG